CCUACGGGAGGCAGCAGUGAGGAAUAUUGGUCAAUGGACGCAAGUCUGAACCAGCCAUGCCGCGUGCAGGAUGACGGCUCUAUGAGUUGUAAACUGCUUUUGUACGAGGGUAAACCCCGAUACGUGUAUCGGUUUGAAAGUACUGUACGAAUAAGGAUCGGCUAACUCCGUGCCAGCAGCCGCGGUAAUACGGAGGAUCCGAGCGUUAUCCGGAUUUAUUGGGUUUAAAGGGUGCGUAGGUGGUUUGUUAAGUCAGAGGUGAAAUGUUGGGGCUCAACCGUAAAACUGCAUUUAAUACUGUUGGACUAGAGUAUAGUUGAGGUAGGCGGAAUGUGUGGUGUAGCGGUGAAAUGCUUAGAGAUCAUGAAGAACACCGAUUGCGAAGGCAGCUUACCAAACUAUAUCUGACGUUGAGGCACGAAAGCGUGGGUAGCAAACAGGAUUAGAUACCCUGGUAGUC
rnacentral:rRNA from 1 species